rnacentral:tRNA from 1 species
GCUGGUGUAGCUCAGUGGUAGAGCAGCGGUUUUGUAAACCGCCGGUCGCGGGUUCGAAUCCCAUCACCAGCU